UCAAGAAACUUCCACAAUGGGCGAAAGCCUGAUGGAGCGACGUCGCGUGAUGGACGAAGUGCCUCGGCACGUAAACAUCUUUUAUGUGGGAUGAAAUUAUUGACAGUACCACGUGAAUAAGGGGCUCCUAACUCUGUGCCAGCAGGAGCGGUAAUACAGAGGCCCCAAGCGUUAUCCGGAAUCACUGGGCGUAAAGGGUGUCGAGGCGGUUGUAUUAGUCGUUCGUAAAAUCUACGAGCUUAACUUGUAGGCGGCGAACGAAACGGUACGACUUGAGGUUUGGAGAGGUGCGUGGAACUCACGGUGUAGGGGUGAAAUCCGUUGAUAUCGUGGGGAACACCAAAGGCGAAGGCAGCGCACUGGCCAAAAUCUGACGCUCACACACGAAAGCUAGGGUAGCGAAGAGGAUUAGAUACCCUCGUAGUCCCUGAGCGGGCUGGCAAGGCGCAU
rnacentral:rRNA from 1 species